rnacentral:rRNA from 1 species
UGCGUAGGCUGUGCAGAAAGUUAGGUGUGAAAUCCCCCGGCUCAACCGGGGAAUUGCGCUUAAAACUACUGUGCUAGAGGAAGACAGAGGUGAGCGGAACUUCGGGUGGAGCGGUGAAAUGCGUUGAUAUCCGAAGGAACACCGGUGGCGAAAGCGGCUCACUGGGUCUUUUCUGACGCUGAUGCACGAGAGCUAGGGGAGGCAAACG